CUACGGGGGGCAGCAGUGAGGAAUAUUGCACAAUGGGGGGAACCCUGAUGCAGCAACGCCGCGUGGAGGAUGACGCAUUUCGGUGUGUAAACUCCUUUUAUAUGUCAAGAAAAUGACGGUAGCAUAUGAAUAAGCACCGGCUAACUCCGUGCCGGCAGCCGCGGUAAUACGGAGGGUGCAAGCGUUACUCGGAAUCACUGGGCGUAAAGGACGCGUAGGCGGGUUGGAAAGUCAGGUGUGAAAUCCUACAGCUUAACUGUAGAACUGCACUUGAAACUUCUAAUCUAGAGUAUGGGAGGGGGAGAUGGAAUUAGUGGUGUAGGGGUAAAAUCCGUAGAUAUCACUAGGAAUACCUAAAGCGAAGGCGAUCUCCUGGAACAUCACUGACGCUAAGGCGUGAAAGCGUGGGGAGCAAACAGGAUUAGAUACCCCAGUAGUC
rnacentral:rRNA from 1 species